AGAGAUGAAGUCCUCUAUUUAAACAGAACAGGUACAGCUUCAGCAGUAGCAAUGCAAACUUCCCCAGCCUUGCUUCAACAUUGACCUGGAAGGACCUCCUCUAAAUGACAGAGGGUGAAAUCCUGGCUCCAUUAAAGUAAAU
rnacentral:sRNA from 1 species